CGCAAGGUUGAAACUCAAAGGAAUUGACGGGGGCCCGCACAAGCAGUGGAGUAUGUGGUUUAAUUAGGAGCAACGCGAAGAACCUUACCAGGGCUUGACAUAUACAGGAAUACUUAAGAGAUUAAGUAGCUCUUUGGAGUCUGUAUACAGGUGGUGCAUGGUUGUUGUCAGCUCGUGCCGUGAGGUGUUGGGUUAAGUCCCGCAACGAGCGCAACCCCUGUUCUUUGUUGCCAGCAUGUACAGAUGGGAACUCUAAGAAGACUGCCGUAGGUAAUACGGAGGAAGGUGGGGAUGACGUCAAAUCAUCAUGCCGUGUAUGUGUGUGGGCUUCUCACGUACUACAAUGGAUGGUACAGAGGGAAGGUAAAUAGUGGUGUGGAGCGAAACCCAAAAAGCGUCCCCACCUGUGAUGGUAGGGUGAAAUUAGGGUACACGAAGCCGGAUUUGAUUCUAAUGGCAGGUCAGCAUGCUGUCGAGAAUCCGUUUCUGGCCGCUGCUCAGAGUGAUGGAUCUAGGG
rnacentral:rRNA from 1 species